rnacentral:rRNA from 1 species
UUUAAAUUUAGAGUUUGAUCCUGGCUCAGGACGAACGCUGGCGGCGUGCUUAACACAUGCAAGUCGAGCGAUGAAACUUCUUUCGGGAAGUGGAUUAGCGGCGGACGGGUGAGUAACACGUGGGUAACCUGCCUCAAAGUGGGGGAUAGCCUUCCGAAAGGAAGAUUAAUACCGCAUAAUAUAAGAGAAUCGCAUGGUUUUCUUAUCA